rnacentral:lncRNA from 1 species
AGCUGCCACUCCAACUUUACCUGCUCACAUGGAAUUAAGGCUGACAUGAUUCCUCUUCCUGAAGAGGUGUGCGCUGGGAAUUCCAUUGACUAUAAGACAGAUGUUGGAAAAGAACAGUAUGAAAAGUAAGUCAUUCUGAAAUUAAUAUUACAUAUCCACCACAUCGUGUGCAUCAAAUAUAUUGCUCUAUGAAUUCCUCUUACAUUUUCUGUCCUGUCACUUUUAUCUUCCUGCAGGUUGGUUGGGGAUGACACAAACUAGACUGUCUCUUCAUCUAAGUUUCUUCAUGCACAGAAAAUAGAACCUCUUAUCGUUCUGAGCUCAACCGAUACGUUAUCACAUCUGAACCUCAGGUCAACGUAUAAAAAUCUAUAUAAAGUUACUCUUUAAGU